ACUAGUGAAACAAGUGGCUGAGAUAGUGAAAAGCUGAGGGAAGAAGUUAACAAUGGUGGAAUAGUUGCGAUUGUUUGACGACGACGAUGAUGGCGAGGUUUGUCUCUGUGUCGUCUUGCCAGUUCCGUUUUGCCUUCUGUGAGUUUCCUCCUCCGUCGUUAACUCCUUAUCCGAGACGGCUUGAGGUCUCUAGCCGGAGAUUUCCGGCGAUUCCGAUAAAAUGUUCUUCAUCUGAGCCGGAAAAUGGUGAGGAUUCGGCGCCGUCUCUGUCCACGAGUGAAGUAUCUACGGCUAACAGUUCGACAUACAAUUGGUACACCGUACUUGGCGGUAUUGGCAUGUUAAAUACAGCGUAUUUGACUUACCUCAAGGUCACUGGCUCUGUUGCGUUUUGCCCUAUUGGUGGUGGCACUUGCGGUGAUGUCCUGAACAGCGAUUACGCUGCUGUUUUCGGUGUUCCUCUCCCAGUGAUUGGAUUUGUUAUGUAUGGCUUGGUAACCGCUCUAAGUGCAGAGCUUGGGGAAGAGAAUCUACCUUUUGGAAUUAGUAAGACCAAUGGGCGUUUUGCGUUAUUUGGGAUAACGACCGCAAUGGCAUCUGCUAGUGCAUAUUUUCUGUAUAUCCUUAGUACAAAACUCUCAGGAUCUUCAUGCCUGUAUUGUCUAGUGUCUGCUUUCAUAUCAUUCAGUCUAUUUUUCCUCUCUUUAAAGGAUGUGAAGUUGCAAGAGAUAAAGCAAGUUGUAGGAUUGCAAAUAUGCUUGGCAAUCAUAGUAGUUGCCUCCUUGACUGCUUCGUACAGUACUGCUCAACCAAUCCCGUCACGAGAUGAAUGGUCUUAUCAGGUGAUAUCUUUUGACGUGGAUAGUUUUUUUUGUUUCACUGCUUCCAGUUCUGGUGACAUUGAACUGCCAUAUUUUAGAACAGAGAUCACUUCAUCAUCGAGCCCUUAUGCUAUUGCUUUAGCGAAACAUCUAAACACCAUUGGAGCCAGAAUGUAUGGGGCAUUCUGGUGUUCUCACUGCUUAGAGCAAAAAGAGCUAGUUCAUUUAUAAUUAUGCGUUUGCAAGGAAUCAGUAUAAUUCAGUUACAUGCAUUUAUAUAAUUAUGUUCAUGUCACUUAUAUAUCCAUUUAUAGAUGUUUGGAAAAGAAGCGGCAAAACAACUGAAUUACGUGGAAUGUUUUCCGGAUGGAUACAAGAAAGGAACUAAGAUACUCAAGGCAUGUGCAGAUGCAGGGAUCGAAGGAUUUCCAACAUGGAUAAUAAAUGAUCAGGUCUUAAGCGGAGAAAUAGAACUCGCUCAACUAGCAGAGAUGUCUGGAUUCAGCCUUGAUCCGGCAAAUGAGGCCAGUCAACUACAGUAAAUGUUGUAUUGUAGAAGAAGAGAAUUAGGUGAAUCCGUGAAUGUUGUGUGCUUGAUAAUGAUAGCUUUAGGGUGGUUCUAUGCAAAAGCAAGUGAUUUAAGUCAUUGUUAUUGCCAUAGGAGGUUAAGGCUUCAUGAUAUAUCUCUUACCCUUCUCCAGUGAUCACUAUGUGACCAGAUAUAGAUGAUAGGUCCCAAACAUUCCUAGGUUCCAGAGCAUCACUGCAGUCAUCUGGUAGUGAUAUCUUAUGUGUGUCUAAUACCUAGAAGUUCGGUUUAUGUAAGAGUCACACAUGUAUUCGUAUAUUACUUAUGGAGUACGCGUAGAUGUUUGUAUAUUAUAUGGGAAUACUAGAAAAAAAUUAUGUUUUUGAGUUCCAAGAUUUGGUGCCCAUUCUGAAUAGUUUCCUUGCAUGUGCCUCCUUGUUCUUUUUUGUUUUUGUAAUAUUGUAAUGAUCCACAAAUUUCGGCGUUAUUAUCCGUUUGAUAUCAAGUAGAUUAAAGUUUUCUU